GUCUUUGGCCAUACCAGCCUGAACGCGCCGGACCCCGUCUUCUCUCGGAAGUUAAGCAGGGUCGGGCCGGCUUAGUACUUGGAUGGGAGACCGCCUGGGAACACAGGGUGCUGUAGGCU
ensembl:rRNA 5S_rRNA 5S ribosomal RNA